AAUCGGUGUUGUGGACAUUUCCACAAUAGGUCCUUGAACCACUCCCAUGUCAAAAACAAGGACUCGAGCUCCAUCUGAACAAAUAACGAUAUCUCAUUACGAAGCUU